UACGGGGGGAGCAAGCGUUGUUCGGAUUUACUGGGCGUAAAGGGCGCGUAGGCGGCGCAACAAGUCACUUGUGAAAUCUCCGGGCUUAACCCGGAGCGGUCAAGUGAUACUGUCGUGCUAGAGUGCGGAAGGGGCUACUGGAAUUCUCGGUGUAGCGGUGAAAUGCGUAGAGAUCAGGAAGAACACCGGUGGCGAAAGCGCUCUGCUAGGCCGCAACUGACAGCUGAGGGACGAAAGCUAGGGGAGCGAAUGGG
rnacentral:rRNA from 1 species